GCCGGGAGUUAGUGGCGUGCUCCUGUAAUCCAGCUACUUGGAGGCCGGGUGCAGCGGAUGUUUCUGGUCGUGGGGUCCGGAUCGGAUUUGUCGUGGAUUUCGAGAGCAUUUCGAUAGUGCGAAUCGGGUGUUUUCGUCAACCUUCAGGGUUACGAGGGACUUUGUGCCGAUGUGUGGCAGUUCGAUUUCGAUUCUCCUCGGCCAAAUACGAAGAGACAGAUCUGUACCUAA
rnacentral:SRP_RNA from 1 species